rnacentral:rRNA from 1 species
GACGAACGCUGGCGGCGUGCUUAACACAUGCAAGUCGAACGGAAAGGCCCUGCUUUUGUGGGGUGCUCGAGUGGCGAACGGGUGAGUAACACGUGAGUAACCUGCCCUUGACUUUGGGAUAACUUCAGGAAACUGGGGCUAAUACCGGAUAGGAGCUCCUGCUGCAUGGUGGGGGUUGGAAAGUUUCGGCGGUUGGGGAUGGACUCGCGGCUUAUCAGCUUGUUGGUGGGGUAGUGGCUUACCAAGGCUUUGACGGGUAGCCGGCCUGGGAGGGUGACCGGCCACAUUGGGACUGAGAUACGGCCCAGACUCCUACGGGAGGCAGCAGGGGGGAAUAUUGCACAAUGGGCCGAAGCCUGAUGCAGCAACGCCGCGUGCGGGAUGACGGCCUUCGGGUUGUAAACCGCUUUCGCCUGUGACGAAGCGUGAGUGACGGUAAUGGGUAAAGAAGCACCGGCUAACUACGUG